rnacentral:lncRNA from 1 species
AACAAAAAGGCACAUCAAGUGCUGGUGACGACCAACAAGAAUAAGAGCAGCAAGUCGAAUGCAAUGAAUCGCAAAGUUGAUGGAGGUUUUGGACAAAGGUUAAGAGUGUUUGACACUUGCCUGAUCUGUUGUGGUUAUGUGCCUGUGACAUCUCUUUUGGUCACUUGAGUGGUCAGCCGCUUCCAAAGUCCUUGCUGUGAUUCAUCCUCCCAAGACAAUUGCAGAUGAUCACAUUUGGGGUGAGGUAGAGGUAAGACCAAAAAGCCAAGACCCUGCAUUCUCAGAGAUUUCUUGGUCUCUAGGGUGCACAAGCUUCCCUAAGGAUUCACUCCCAGGACACAGUUAAUUGGGAGAAGAUUACUUGGCUUCCUCCCACAACAGAGUUCUGCUGGAUCAGGAAAACCUGCAAAGCAAAUUCAACAGGACUUCAACUUAUUACUUCGUGCAUAUUACAUCUGUUUAAGGAAAAUCUCUAAGCAUGUUGUAGGCAGUUAGCAGCGAGAUUGACAAAUUCUUAAAAAAUAAAUUUUUUAUGCCUUCCUUCCAUGGCAUAGUGGGUUAAGAAUCCAACUAUAGUGGCUUGGGUUUCUGUGGAGGCGUAGGUUCGAUCCCCAGUGCAGUGGGUUACAGGGUCAGUAUUGCUGUAGCUGAGGCAUGGGUCGAGGCUGCAACUGGAUUCAAACCUUGGCCUGGGAACUUCCAUAUGCUGUGGGUGCAGCCAUUAAAAAAACAAACAAAAAAACCUGUUGAUUUAAAAUAAUAAUAAUAAUAAUAAUAAUUUUUACUUAGAGAAAAUGAACCCGAAUAUAUUGGAUUAAAGGAGUCCAGCUGACCUGAAUAAAUACAUUUUUGACAGAAAAGAGAUAAAAAUGAAAAUUAAUUGUGCCUAUUCUGCUCUUCUGAGAUGACAAAGGCAUCAGAAAUUUAAAAUCCCAGAGGGAAUAGCUCCCUUUUGGCUCAGCAGGUUAAGGAUCUGGUAUUGACACUGGCUCUGGUCACUGCUGUGGCUCAGGUCACUGCUGUGGCCCAGGUUCAGUCCCUGGGCCUGGGAACUUCUACGUGCUACAGGCAUGGCCAAAAUAAUAAUAAUAAUAGUAAUAAUUUAGGAAUUCCCCUGUAGCACAGCAAGUUAAAGAUCCAGUGUUGUCACUGCAGAGGCUCAGGUUGCUGCUGUGGCUUGGAUUCAAUCCCUGGCCCAGGAGUUUCCACAUGUCAUGGGCAGGGCCAAAAAAAUUUGAUAAAAGAAAAAGAAACUAACCUGCUAGGUCCUAAAAAAAAAAAAAACCACUUACUCCAAGUGCCUGCCUGCCAAGGGAAACUAAGCAGUCUGAGAAAACUCUUCAAAGACUGUCAAGCAGGAGCACCUUAGGCCUUUGAAACUUAGGAUGAAUCUUAUUACAAGCUUUGGGGGUCAUUUCUAAGGAAUUAAUGUAUUUACUGAUCCAUUAAAUGUUGGAAAAAGCCAGAAAUAGGCCUUUUCUUUCAGAUAUGCAGGAAACAAGUCAAUAAAAACCACUGGUUUGGGUUCUGUAAGAUUGCAUUGCAUGUCAAAAGCUUGGUUAGGAUAAAAGUGAACUAAACAAUAACAUUAAUAAUAAGAAUAGCUUAACUUUGAGUAUUUAUUAUAUGCCAAACACUCUUCUAAGUAUCUUUCUAACUCAAUCCUAGGAAAAAGACCAAUAAGGUUGAUACUAUUCCUAUUUAGCAAAUAAGGACCCAGAGAGAUGAAGCACUUGCCCAGAAUCACAGUUAGUGGAUGGUUUUGAACCUAGGCAGCUCAGCUCCUGAGUCUGCUUCAUAGAGAGGGCAAAGAAAUGAUGUUACUGUGUUUGGUUCACUUUAAAGAGGCUUUUCUUGUCUAUUUAAAACUCACUCAUGCGGGGCGCAUGUUGACUCAUAACAACGGAACUUACCAAGUCAAGUCUGGAAUUUGUCUGCCAGGAAGUUUAACCUCACAUGGGAGUCAGGCAGCAUUGUUGAGUGAAAAGAGCACUCAUUUCAUGGGAUCUGUAUUACCUUUUCUACCUACCAAGUAGUUCAACACAGUUCAGGCCCUUCAAGGAGGGUCAGUUGCACUGGCCUGAGAACUGCUAUGGUGUCUCCAGCCCACAGGACUCAGGGACAUCGAGGUGAUCAUAGUAUUUCUCAUAAAGGCGAGUCAGAAAACCCAAGAUGCUCUCACUCAUCUUGUGACUCCCUGGAAGUCCUAAAGGCCAUUCUCAAACUUUUAGGAGGGAGAUGAUCAUAUUCUUAUCUAUUUAGUAAGCACGCACAGUAACUAGCUGGGCAUAUCUGAUGAACACAGGGAACUAUAUCUAGUCACUUGCAAUGGAACAUGAUGGAGGAUAAUGUGAGAAAAAGAAUGUACAUCUGUGUGUGUGUGUGUGUGUGUAACUGGAUCUCUUUGCUGCAGCAGAAAUUGACACGACAUUGUAAAUCCACUAUAAUAAAAAUUUUUUUUAAAAAAUUAGGGGCAUAUCAGUUCCCAUCGUAGUGCAGCAGCAAUGAAUCCAACUAGGAACAAUGAGGUUGGGGGUUCGAUCCCUGGCCUCGCUCAGUGUUGCUAAGAAACUAUGGACAAGAAUAAGAUAUGUAGUCACUUUACAGCAGGCAUACAUUUCUGUCUACCUUUAGGUCACAAGAUUUGUCUGCAGUAUUGUAAAUAUUACAAUAACUAAAAGUUUCAGAUUAAUAGCAUUUUUACUGAACUAAAUUAGAUACCUUGGGGUACAGCUCUUUUAAAUGGCAUUCCAUCAAAACUCAAUCUUCUGUUUCCCUCCAUUUUUUCCUAGCUCUUCUCUUUUCUUCCUAACACUUAAAUGUGAAAAGAAAAAGGAAAAUGUGCACAUCAGAAAAGAGCAGAAAAAAGAAAAAAAAAAAAAAGAUUUUGUUUGUCAGUUGCUUUGUUUUACAUUUUAUUUUCCCAGCUCUUUGUCCUUUUCCUUCUCAGUUUUGAAACAAGCCUCUCUCCCCAUCUACUCUCACACCCUUUGCAGACAGCAGAACUCAAACUUCACUUCUGCUUUUCAGGUCUUAAAGAGAAAGGGGAAAAGGUAGAAAAGUGACCAACCGAGAGGUAUAAAAGAGUUUCUUAUUUCAAAAUUCCCACGUUCUGCCAACUUUAAAAUACCUUUCUUCGCUUCAAAGGUCCCCAGAUCGUCACAGUAUUUAAGCCACAGUAUUUAAAGAGGUAUCGUGUUGCUUACAGUUCUUCAAUCUGCAUUGGGUGUCUCUGGCCUCCCUGAGCCAGGCACCAGCCUCUUAAAAAGUCCUUGCAGUAGGUUAACUAACAGGCUGGAGUUUUCUUAAGGAUGAACGCUCCUUCAACAGCCCGGAACGUUACUUCGCCGCUGAAUCUUCCCGGGGCAUCAUGUAACAACCCUCUGUUCGCGGCGAGAGCCAGCCGAUCUCCAGGGGUCCCGGCGCCCCUCAAUCUCCCUCACUCCCUGUUGGCACGGAAAGUGACGGAGGUCAUGGAGCGCUCCUCGGUCAGCGUAGUCAGGGAACCCUUCGCCCACGCGACCUGCAGGACUUCUUGUGUCAUCUCAUAAUCCACGACCCGCACGAGGAAGGGUUUGGGGGGCUCCCCUGGCGGAGCUCGAGAGGGAGCGUCUACACGGCUGCCAGAAAUUCGCUUUUCCGGUGGAAAGAGAGAAGGCCAGUCCGAUUCCCGAUCUUGUCCUCCCGCUUCGAAAAGCUCGUCCUCACCGGCCACCUCUUCCCCGGCGGGGUCCCCCCGAGUGCCCAACCACCUCUCCGGGUGCAGAAGAAAGAGCACUUUCUCUCGGACCCAGGACUCACAGUCCGCAUUCUUCCCGGCCUCGUGGUCGGCUCGGGCGCCGCCCCGGCUGCCGCUCGCCCCC